UCCGGUUUAACACCGGCAGUCCCCCUAGAGUGCCCUUGCGGUUGCAACUAAGGGUAAGGGUUUCGCUCGUUAUGGGACUUAACCCGACAUCUCACGACACGAGCUGACGACAGCCAUGCAGCACCUGUACCAGCUUCCGGGUUGGGUACCGUUCGUUCCCGUUUCCGGGUCCUACCUGCUGGCUCUUUCGAACAUGUCAAGUCCAGGAUAAGGUUCUUCGCGUAGCCUCGAAUUAAGCCACAUGCUCCACCGCUUGUGUGAGCCCCCGUCAAUUUCUUUGAGUUUCAGCCUUGCGACCAUACUCCCCAGGCGGGGUACUUAGCACUUUAGCUUCGGCAGUAAACCCAUGUCUAGUCUACUACCUAGUACCCAUCGUUUAGGGCUAGGACUAC
rnacentral:misc_RNA from 1 species